rfam:Homo sapiens chromosome 12, GRCh38 reference primary assembly.
GCCAGGUGUGGUGGCGCACGCCUGUAGUCCCAGCUACUCGGGAGGCUGAGGCAGGAGAAUCACUUGAACCUGGGAGGUGGAGUUGCAGUGAGCUGAUAUCAUGCCACUGCACUCCAGCCUCGGCAACAGAGUGAGACCACUGCACUCCAGCCUGGGUGACAGAGUGAGACUUUGUCUCAA